UAACACAUAAAUGGAAUGUUUAAGAUAUGUGACAAAGAUAUACCCUAUAGUGACACGAAAUAAUGAUACAACUAAAGUGUUACAAAGAAACAUACACAUGUGAAUUUUCCAGUUCAGGGGUCUCAAGGAGAUCAUUUAGAUGCAAGGAGACUACUUUCAAAACGUUUUUGGAAUGUAACGUUCUCGAAACGUGGAACAUGGGAAUGGGAACAUGAGCCAUGUUCCCGUUCCCAAGCUGCUAAGGUCCGUUGCGCCAUAGUUAUAGCUGCACUACUAGUUUGGAGGAUGAAAUGUUACCAAGACCUUUGGCAUCAAAAUCCGACACAACAUACAAGGACAAGCAAGUGCUAGUGCAACACGCCCAAUCUAUGACCAUGAACCAAAUUGCUGCCUAAGGAAUUCUUUACCUUACACUUUUGGCCUGGCAAGGUCUAGAAGGAAGCAAAACAGACCCUAAAUACAAUUUAACGACUCAGUUAUCUAUGGGCUAUGCAAAUUCAAACAGUUGUCACUGAAUAGUUGUCGACCUCAUGCGUUUACAUAUAUUAUGUAUCUGAAAGUUGGCAACAUGUUUACAAGUCCAACAAUAAUAAUGAAAAUUAAAACACACAAUCUUAGAAUCCUCUCAUGUGCCCAUUUUUUGUUUACAUAACUAAGGCUAGAUCUUCUUACACAAAGCUUGGACUAUUUAUGAAAAGAUGAGGUUUCAAUUUAGCAGUGUGGUCCUGCCAAUGUCGAAAAAAUAGAAAAAAAAAUAUGUAGGACAUGUUCUAUUUGAGCUCAUGCCGUGAAAAUCGAUGGAAAAUUAAGUGUUUUGCUGAACAAUACUCAAGCUACUAUCUUGGUGACUCCAAUGAAAAAAAAUCUUAUAAAGUGGUCUAAAAUUUCUAAGAACUGGUAUGCAGGUAUAUUUAAUGUGGUGGUGCAAGUUGACUCCCAUGAUAAAUAUCAUUCUCAUGAAAAUAGAAAAUAAUUUUGUUGCGGGAUAGUUAUUUUCAUGAGAGGGUAUUAAAUACUCUCACGAAAAUAGUUGAUUUCAUGACGGUGUGUGGAGCACUCUCAUGAAAAAUAAGUUUUCGUGGUGAAGAUUAAUUUCAUAUGAGAGUGUACUUUCAGUUCUCAAAAAAGUUCCCCUCACGAAGUCUAUAGCUUUUGGUAGUGAUUUCAUGUUCAAUUUCCAACUAACCAACAACCCUCUCAAAAGAUCUUGUAGGUAGAGAGUUUGUGGUCUUUAUUUAGCGUAGCUUAUCCUUCUUCUCUGCUCCCUAUGAUCGAUAUAAACCUCAGAAUACUUUAGGCCCUGUUUAGUUUCCCACCCAAAAAAUUUUUAUUUAUCCCAUCGAAUCUUUGGACAAAUGCAUAGAACAUUAAAUGUAGAUAAAAAAAUAAACUAAUUACAC
rnacentral:lncRNA from 1 species